rnacentral:piRNA from 1 species
UAACUGACGUGACUGAGGGUUAGUGGA